rnacentral:lncRNA from 1 species
CGCGCCGCUGCGCGGGGAUGACAUCGCCGCGGACGCGGGUGUGUGGUCCGCCCCGACCCCGGCAGUCGGCUUUCGCCACCAAUCGUGGGCCCGUGUUCUUAGUGUUUUCUUCCACUCAUGUUUGUGUUUGAGGUGCUUUCUAUUCAGGACGACUUGUUUUUAAGGCAUAUCACCUAGAUUCAGCUUUUCCCAGCAGUUCUCCCCAAUUGUGAUCCUCCUUGGCACUUUGAGAUGCUCUUGCUCUCCGCACGCAGAGGAUCCGUUCUCCGACUGCAGCAGGUUGCCCGCAGCUCUGACCGCUAAUGGCACAGAAAAUAUGACAGACAGCAAAGGAGCUGUGAUUAUGCUUAUUUCAGUGGACUGCUUCAAAAGGCCAUUUUUUACCUGUAAAUCUUCAAACUCAAAACUGUAA